CACACACAAGGUAAUAAGACCAAAUUCAAAUAGUCUGUGACAUUUUGGUAACAGCAUUGUUACCGAAACGUCACACCAUUUAUAUAUUUGGAUUUGGUCUUAUUACCUUGUGUUUAUAAUAUAUAAUACAAAUUGUGCCUUAUCAUGAUGAAAAUUAUGAAACUAUUUUUAAAUGCUAUUUUUCUUUUAAAAUAUAAUUAAUAUUAUAUCUAGAGCCCUUAUCCUAAAAUGAAUAAAAAUAAUUUUUCUGCUUUUCACAUGUGUGGACACGUGGUGCACUUAUGGUAAAAGCAGUCGCCUACUAUUGAUUAUCAUGGCCUGUACCCUGUAAACUAAGGAUGGGCAAAAAAAAAAAGAUUUUUUGUCAAAUAUAUUUUAAAUUAGAUAUACAUUUCUACAGUCCUAGACAUAUGUCCAUAGUUUGUUCAAAACACCAUUUUACUGUAUUCAAUAGCAAGUGGAGGGUUUAGAAGAACUCAGUCUAAUACAAUAUUGAUGAGGUCUGGAGAAUAAAAGGGCAAACCCACUGGGAGGUUUCACCACUGAUAAGCCAUACUUCCCUCUUUCAAUUUUUAAUAAUCACAGGAUAAGGGCUGUAGAAAUAAUUUUAAUUAUAUUUGUUUAAAAAGAAAAUAAUGGUAAAAAUAUAUAGUUUUUUUGUCAGUUCUUAUAAUUUAAGUGUAUCUCUAUUUCAGCUUGUUUGAUAGAGGUAUUCAGUUUGAAAAAUGCCAAAUGAGUUUUACAAUAUGACAACAAAAGAAAUUUCUAUUAAUAGAGGUAUAUAACAUUUCAACUCAUGUUCUAUAUUUACAACUGUAUAAUUGAAGUAAUCACAUAUUUUUUGGUGGAGUAUGUAAAAAUAAGCACAUACUGGACAUUUAUAAUAAUAAUCUUUUUAUUCAGAUACUAGCGGAUGUGUACCCGGCUUCGCCCGGGUUUUAUCCAAGUGAAAGUUUGCCUAACGAAAAUUAUUGAUAAUAAUAUUGCUGAACACACAGAAUAUUAUGAUAAUAAUAUUCGUUACAUUAUAUAUUUAUAUAAUAUGUUUUCUUGGCCGACUGUUUUACAUAUGGUGUUAUCUUAAAAUUGUUUGUUUUGAAUAUUUUUUUAGAUUGAGAUUAUUAGCUAGUAUGUAAAAAAAUUAACUCUGUUUAAUUUUUUUUUGUAUUUAUAUAUAAAUAAAAUUAACUCUGUUGAUUUUUUUUUGUAUUUAAUCGAUAACACCGAAGUUACGCAUGUUAAUGUUAGGAAAAAUAUUUUGAUGUUAAGCAAAACCUGCUCCAUCUCGUUUUACAUAAAUGUUGAAAAUUUGGUCGAAAUUGAUGCAUUGUAACGAAAGUUUUUAGCGAACAACACUUAUGAAAUUUGCAUUUUAUUAAUAUAGAUACAAAGAGACAAAAGUACAUUUUUAAAUGGACAAAGAAAUAUGUCAACUCAAAUUCACAAUGUUCACACUUAAAAGGAAUUUCGUCAGUGUUCUUUCAAAUGUCUUUUAAGCAUACAUUUCUUAAUCUAUAUACAGUAUAACCUCGUUAAUUCGACACACGCAAAUUCGACACUCUACCUUAAUUCGACCAUAUUCUGAUGUCCCGACCUCCGGCCUAUCAAUAACAAACCGUAAUUCGACAGUUCCGAUAGUUCGACCAUUUAAAAAUUCUAAUUUCGACAGUUGAAUGUUUUUUUACAUACAACUUUACCACUAAAUGGUAUUACGGCGGCGCCGAUAGGAUCGCGUCUGCGCACUUUUGGUUUCUGUUAGUUUAAGUUUCACUUUGCAGUGCCGAUGCGCAAUGUCGCGAGUGUUAUUGUUUUGUUAGUUUUUUCAAAUGGGAAUUUAGGCUUCGUGCUCUAAUUGAUAAUAUUAUUUUCUUUAAAAUUUUCAGUAUUGAAAUAUUUUAGUUAUUUUAAAAUUUACAAAUAAUUUAUUUUUAAAUAAAUAAAUCUUCAUAAAAUGUAGCCACAAUUAUUAUGAAAACAUUUUAUUUCAAUAUUCCAUUUCCAUGUUAUUAUAAAAGAUUUAAACACAAAAUCAAUAACACCCGCAGCAGCAGUGGAGAUGCCUUCAAUACAAUAAAAGCUCUUUGUUAUUUAAAACACAUUCCAGAGGAAGAAAGACAUGCAUUGUUUUUUUUUUUUAAAUAGACCAUCUGGAAUACAUUUUGAAUAGGAUUUCAGUGAAAAAGCAGACAUCUAUAAAGGAAUUUUUAAAAAGAUAUUCAUGAUUUUUUUAAAUACACCUAUCCCCCGAUUUACACGGUUUUCCAAAUAAGUUUUUUUUUUAUCGCACUAUACUAAAUGCUACUGUGAUAGAACACAUGCGCUGUGUACACAUCUCACGAGGAAUCCCGAGCUUAUGUGCUGACUACAUAUUUUAACCUGUCAAUGCAUUUUAUUUUUAUUUCUGUGUACACCUAUCCCCCGAUUUACACGUUUUUCUCAGGAACGUAUCUACCGUGUAAAUCAGGGGAUAGGUGUAUAAUUUUAAAAUUUUCUUUUUAUUUUCCAUAUUUAUUUCCUUUCAACUGCUAUACUCUUCAAUUAGAAUAAAUUUUAUUUUUAAUUAUUUAUGUUUCAAAAAUAUGUAUUAUUGCCAUUUUGUCCCUGAUACUAAAAGUUUCUUCCUCUGAAAUGUCUUUUAACACUUUGAGGAACAUUGGUUUCACAACCCAAAUAGCCCCGUGAACCAGGGUAAAACUUGAUUUUUAAAAAAAAUCAUUUUUAUAAAAAUAUAUUACCUUGAACAGUGAAAUUUGAUGCUUGUAUCAAAAUAUGUCUAUAAAACACAAAAAUGCAAUAAAAAAUAUAUGUUUAUUGGCACUUUUUCAAAAUAAAAAAAGAACUAAAAAAAUGCAAACUGCCAAAAAAAAACGCCACUGUUCGUAAAAAAAAAAUAAUCAGAGGAAAUUAUUAAAAUUUUUACAUUUAUAUACUUGUUAUUCCCAGUACUUCGUUUCUGUAUGGUACUUUUCGAAGCACUCUCCAACGCAAAGUGGAAUCUUGCAUUGUUUGCACUCAAAUCUGGUGUCCUUCCGGGCUGCCUUCCCAGUCUUGUGCUUUGCACUAUCUGCACAAACUUUGCACCUUCUUUGCACUGCUUUUCCACUUUCUGGGGCUAUUUUAUAGCAGUAGUGCUUCCCAAGUAGCCUGGCAACAUCAGUUUUCGAAGUUGUUUCUUUUUCAGAGUGUUCAAUGCUUGCCUGAUUGAGCAACUCCCCACCGACAGCCAGAUAGAAGUCCUUCAGACUUAUUUUUUUAUCAGGAUUUGCUUUAUUGUAAAUGAUGUUGCCAUUUACAAAACAAAGUGAAAAAAGAUGGAAGAAUAUUUUUUUCCACCAUUUCAAUGUUUUCCUGCUAAAAGAAUAAUAUGCCAUCAUCUGAUCGCUCCGGUCCACUCCUACCUUCCCCUUGUUGUAAUCGAUGACAGCAUCAGGCUUGAACAACUCUUCUCUGGUUGGGGUUUUGGGCUUGACUGGCAUCAUUUUACCUUCAUGGACAGUGGAGAGCAUGAAAACAUCUCUAACAUCUUUCCAUUUGAUGGCUAAAAGAUGCUUUCUUCUCAUCUUUAUAAUCUCUCCUCUCUUUAGUUUUUGGGAAAAUUUGUUUUUUGGCAUCGUUUUCCUGGAAGGCAUAACUGUGCCAACAGCUAGGGUCUUUUUUUCCCAAAGUUUAUCAAAUAACUCAGGAGAGGAAAACCACCUAUCAAAAUAGAUAUGAUAGCCUUGUCCAUAAAACCUCUUUGCCAGCCUGUCCACGAGGUUCGGAAUGGAGUUGUGCUCUGGCUGCUCAGGAUCCUUGCCAGUGUAGAUAUCAAGAUUGUAAGAAAAUCCAGAUACAGCUUCACAAAUCUGGAAUAUCUUGAUGCCAUAUUUAUGAGGUUUUCCUUUUAUAUACACUCGAAAACCCACACGUCCUCUGAAUGGACACAUCGCCUCAUCAAUAUUGAGAUUUUGCUGAAGAGUGUAGGCAUUCCCAAAAGAAUAUAUGAGGGAUUCCAAAACUGGUCUUAUUUUGAAGAGUCUGUCAUGCCCUGGUUUUCCAUAUUCAAUGUAUUUUGAAUUGUCAUUCAAAUGUAGCAUUGACAAAAUUCUCAUAAAUAGUGUCCUUGGCAUAUUUAUGGACUGGCAAAAGGCAUUCUUCAGGAAUCCGUGAGUAGACCAGUAGUCUUUCAUCCCAGGCUUCUUCACCAAAGACAUGUGUAUGAUGACACAGAAAAAGAGCUUUAUCUGUGCCACUGACAUAUCCUUCCACUUAGCCAGCAUGCCAUGAGGCUUGAGAGGACCCUUCUUGGACUCCCGAUCAAUAAUACUCCUGGCAUAUCGGUUUGUUUCCUCUUUGAUGCUUUUGAAAAUAUUCUCUGUAAAGAAGAGACUGAACGCAUCAAAUGGUGAGGAAACAUCCCCCACUAAAUUUAGUCCAGGGCGGGCGGUGAAAGGGGGAGGAGUUGGGGGCGAGGGAUCAUCUUUCCUCCAGGUGCCGGCGGCAACAUUGGAGCCAGCGGCGGCAGUGGACGUGUCCCGACAUGUCGUCAGCAUGCGAACUGGAGCUACUUCUAAUUGCGGCCGUUUAGCAGGAAUUACUUCCCUUUCUUCCUCCUCAAAUUCUAAUUCAUCGGAGGCUGAAUUUUCGUAAUCAGGAUCCUUCACUUCAUCAUUAAUUUCUGAGCCAGAAUCGUAAAGAUAUUCAAGAAUAUCUUGAAUGUCUUCAUCUAAAUGAACUUCUGAUCCCAAACCUUUUGAAGUGCUAGGUUGAUCCAAAGGAUUCAUUUCAAUAACGUUAUGAAAUUAGAGGCAAAAUAACUUAGAAAAAAACGAGCGAAAAGAGAUUAGAGAUAACAAAAACAAACUUGCCUGUUAUCAGUUUGUCAGCAAGCUAGCCAAUGAGAUUGAGCAACAGAUGACUAAUCUUUUUGCCUGCCAACAGUAUCGUCCUGACAUCUAGUGAUCAUUUUUGUAACUAUUCAUGAUAGGCCGAUGAUUUGCCGAAGAGAUUUCUUGACGUACUUCGUUCUAUGAUUUUCUAUUGAGUUUUAAAGUGCCGCGAUGUAUAAAAACGGGGUUGGUCCGCUAGGCUUAAUAGCUUAUGACGUAUAAAAACGGGGUUGGUCUUCAAAGUGUUAAUAAAUAAAUUUUAAUGUAUUAAAGGCAUCCACUGCUGCUGCUGCAGGUGUUAUUGAUUUUGUGUUUAAAUCUUUUAUAAUAACACAGAAAUGGAAUAUUGAAAUAAAAUGUUAUCAUAAUCAUUGUGGCUACAUUGUAUAAAGAUUUAUAUAUUUAAAAGGAAAUUAUUUGCAAAUAUCAAAAUAACUAAAAUAUUUUAAUACUGAAAUUUAAAAAUAAAAUAUUGUUAAUUAGUGCAUGAAGCCUAAAUCCCAGCGUAAAAAAACAACAACAAAAAAAACAAUAACACUCGUGACAUUGCGCAAUUAUGAAACUUAAACUAACCAGGAACCAAAAGUGCACGCGCGCGAUCCUAUCGGCGCCCGCUGAUCGCCGCCUUAAUACCAUUUUAGCAGAAAGUUGUAAGUAAAAAACAUUCAACUGUCGAAAUUCAAAUUUUAAAAUAGUCGAAAUAUCGGAAGUGUCGUAUUAUCGAUAUGUCGAAUUACGGUUUGUUAUUUGAUAGGCCGGAGGUCGGGACAUCAGAACAUGGUCGAAUUAUCGCCGAGUGUCGAAUUAGGGUGUGUCGAAUUAACGAGGUUAUACUGUAAAUGAAUGUAUGUGUGUCUGUCUGUCCUUUAUGCCUGACCAAACCACUCAUUGGAACGCCAUGAAACUUUGGGAAGUUAUUUAGUAUAGUACUGGGAAGGUUUCUAGCAAAUAAAAUUUUUUAAAUAACUUUUCGCCUAAAAAUAAUCAAGAUAAAUAUUCUAAUUUAUCUGUUAUAAUUCAACAAUCUGCUCUAAAUAUUAUCAUGAUGAUACGAUGAUUUUGUAAUGUAGAAAAUUAGGAAAGACAAAAUUCAGGAUGACACAACAAUUUAUUUGAGACAAGAAUAAUGAUACAAUUCCAAGGCAAGAUACUAUUCCGUUAACUUCCAAUUACCGAGGGAACCAAUUAAUAUUGAUUUUAUUCAACUUAUCGAGUAUUUUUCAAGGGACCGGGAAAAAAUGUUCACUUUAUCGAGAGAUUCGUUAGACAAACCUUUUCUCGGGUAAAACCCGGGUGAAGCCAGGUACGUCCGCUAGUUACUUUAUAUUUAUAAAAUGCGCAUUUAAAUGACUUUUCCCGGUGUGUGUGUGAUUGAGCAAAUGUUGAUUAAGGCUGUGUUUAUAUUUUGAUCUAUAGUCGCAAAACUCAUUUAAAUGGCUUUUCACCUGUGUGCAUUAAUAUAUGCUUUUUAAGACAAUCACUAUAAACUGUUGUAUAUUCACAAUAUUCACAUUUAAAGGGCUUUUCACCAGUGUGUUUUAAUAUAUGUCUUUUAAGAUUAUAAUUAUUAAUUGUUCUAUAUUCACAAUAUUCACAUUUAAAAGGCUUUUCACCUGUGUGUUUUAAAAAAUGUCUUUUAAGCAUACUACUAUGAAUUGUCCUAUAUUCACAAUAUUCACAUUUUAAAGGCUUUUCACCAGUAUGUGUAAGGAGAUGAAUUUUAAGAUUAUCCUUGUGAUUUGCUCUGUAUUCACAAUAUUCACAUUUAAAAGGCUUUUCACCAGUGUGUUUUAAUAUAUGCCUUUUAAGACCACUACUAUAAAUUGUUCUAUAUUCACAAUAUUCACAUUUAAAGGGCUUUUCAUCAGUGUGUUUUGAUAUAUGUGCUUUAAGACUAUUACUAUGAAUUGUUCUAUAUUCACAAUAUUCACAUUUAAAAGGCUUUUCACCUGUGUGUUUUAUUAUGUGAGUUUUAAGACUACUACUAUAAUUUGUUCUAUAUUCACAAUAUUCACAUUUUAAAGGCAUUUCACCAGUAUGUGUAAGGAGAUGACUUUUAAGAUAAUCCUUAUGAAAUGUUCUGUAUUGACAAUAUUCACAUUUUAAAGUCUUUUCAUUGUGUGUCACCAAAUGCUUAUUAAAGGUUCUUUUAUUAUUUGCUUUAUACUCACAAAACUCGCAUUCUAAGAGAUUUUCACCAGUGUGCAUCAUCAAAUGUUGAUUAAGGGUACUUAUAUCUAUUGCUCUAUAAUCACAAAAAUCACAUUUAUGGGGCUUUUCACUUGUAUGAGUUAUCAAAUGUUGAGUAAGUGUAUGUUUAUAUAUUGUUCUAUAUUCACAAAACUCGCAUUUAAAUGGCUUUUCACCUGUGUGCACAAGAAAAUGCUUUUGAAAAAGAAGAUUUUCAAAUGUCUCGAAUUCACAAUAUUCACAUUUAAAGGGCUUUUCACCUUUGUGUAUUAAUAUAUGUCUUUUAAGUCUACUACUAUGAAUUGUUUUAUAUUUACAAUAUUGACAUUUAAAAGGCUUUUCACCAGUAUGUAUAAAGAGAUGAGUUUUGAGAUUACCCUUGUGAAAUGUUCUGUAUUCACAAUAUUCACAUUUAAAAGGAUUUUUAUCAGUUUGCAUCGUAAAAUGUUGAUUAAGGGUACUUAUAUCUCUUGCUCUAUAAACAUAAAAUUCAAUUUUUGGGGUUUUUCACCAGUAUGAGUAUCAAUUGUUGAGUUAUGUAAAUUCGAUUCUUGCUUUGUAGUCACAAAACUCACAAUUUAAAGGUCAUUUUACAUGUAUGAUUGACCAAAUGGGAAUGAAUAUUGAAUUUCCUUUUAGUUUGGUAAUUACAAACGUCACACUUGUAGAACAUUUAUUUUUUCUUUUGCUACAAAUGAAUGCUUUUCAACUUGGCUAUCACUCUUUAGGUUUUGAUUAGGUUGGUUACACUCUAAAUAUCCCCGAGAGGAAAAUAAUGGAAUUUUUUAAUUAAGAUGCACUUGAUAUUUUAUAUUUAUAAUAUUUGCACCAAAGAGAUUUUCAAAAAUGUUACUUAUUGACAUAUGGAGCAACAAUUCUUUAUGUUAACAUGCCAUUAGAUAAAAGUCAUAUAUAUUUAAUAUAUAUAUUUUCUUAUUAGAAAAGGUUUGUAUUUCUCACAAAUCUACAAAAACAAAUUGCUAAAAUGGAGUUAAUUAUUUUUUAACGUAGAAUAUGGAUCAAGCUUUGAAUGUUUUUGUUUCCUUAAAUGAAAAUGCUUUCUUCAUAGUUAAUUUAGGUGACAAUUUCCAUUGUUACUGGGAUAAUAUUCAGGAAGGAAAAGGGAGUCGCUUUUCAUCCUGCAAAAUAAAAAAUAUAGGUAAGCAUCAUUAUUAAAGACAAACAAACACACACAUAUAGCCAUUUAAAUAAAAAACUAGUAUUAAUAAUUUACAAGGCAAACACUAAAUGAUAUCAAAAAUAACACUUAUCAUCAGGUUAUGACAAUAAGAGAACUUGAUCACAAUCUCCUUGAUAACAUCAUUGAGAAAAUAUUCAAUCUUUGAAUACACUAAGCAACCAUAGUGUAACCUCUUUAACUGAAUACAAUUUAACACACUUACUUCAUUUCAUUGGGAAAUUUGAUUCCCUCAAGGGGAGGGGUAUAAAUUUUAAAAAGUUUUCAAAAUUAAAUAUAAAAUUGCCGACGGUGGACACGAAUUCGCAUCCACUGCGUUCUUGUCCCAUAACUUCUUAUCUAUCAGUGGGGGUUGGGGGGAUGUCAGCUGACCCAAUGUACCUGUAA
rnacentral:piRNA from 1 species